UCUCGGCUUCUCUCCUGUGUCUCUAAUCCUCGCUCAAACGCCGUCGCUCUUCCCCUCUUCGGCUUACUUCUGUCGCAGGUGACUUUCGCCUGGGAUUCUUUCCUUGUGAGGCAAAAGUCACCUGUGACAGACAGGAAUCGAAGAAUUGAAGAGCCAAGGCGUUGUUGAGCGGAUUUCUACUCAAUUCUCAAUUAAAUUUCAUUUAUGGUGAUAGGUCUUUUUUCGCUGAUUAUGAUUACCAUGCCAAGCUGCUAUUGCUAGAUGCGAUCUAGAAUUCUUCUAUCCGCUAGAAGAAUGAGAUUGGCUUGCUAUAUGAGAUUGUUGUUUGGUGGAUUCUCAGUACCAAUCCAAGCCAUUGUAGCUAAUGGAGGUCUAGAUGUCUUUCAUUAGCUGGAUAAUAAAUUAUAUUAAAUUCUUUUACCUUGCAAGGAUCCUAAGAUUUUUAAUUAGGCCGUGUAUCCGAAAAGCAGAUGAUGCUGGCUUAAUUUGUUUCAUUUGUUUACUUAAUUAAGCAAACGUUUGUGUCUCAAAAAUCAUUAAUUGAUUCAAGAGUUAUCAAACUUCAGUUGACAAUUUUGGUAGGCUUGGAGAAAGUGACAGGCAAUAGUUAUGCAAUGAUAACAGUAUGGGGUAAAGGUUUGUGCCUCGGUUUUCUUUUAUUUUAUGGCUGUAAUGUUGAAAGAAAUUGGUCACAAAAAAUAGAUUGCAGAGAUGGGGAGUAGCAGUGGAGUCAGCUUCCUGUGUAUUGUGUAGAGGUACUGAUGAAACUAUGGAACAUUUGUUUUUCAGUUGAAUUGUUUCCUCUGUAGUUUGGAACAAUGCGCUGCUGCUCUGUUUAGCCUAUUGGAGUUGUUUGCUUAGUCUGCAGAGCUGGAAUGGAUAUGUGAUCUCUAGAAGACUAAUUCCUUUAUUGAUCAGGUAAAGUGGUUGGCUUUCUCUGCCAUGCUAUAUCACCCAUGGAGAGCAAGAAACCAAGGCUAUCUAUCAAAGAAUCCCUGUAUUCACUGUUAGCGUAGUUACCGCUGUGGUUGCAUCAGUUAGAGAUACAGUUGGAGGUUGGAAGAAGUUUCCUUGUACUAAGCCAAAUUGGGAUUUGGCUUUAAAGUUAGGACUGCCAUUUCUGUGCUUUAAAUGACAGGGUCCUCUGUAAUAAAAUAGUGUUUCUGAAUUGAUGUAUUUGGAAUAUUGUAUUCCUUGGCUGCACUACUGGCUACUUUAUUGUUGAUCAGUGAAGAGGGUUCAUGUUGCUAUAGAAAAGAAAAAAUGAAGAGAGUCUCAGGUUGUGAGGAACUUGUAGUAAUAUGUUUCUGUUUGUAAUUAAUUUAGUUAAUUGUUCUGCAUUUAGAUCAAUUUUUGUUCCACAUAAUCUUAGCAUGUAGUUGGUCAUCUCAUGUUACUUGCAUUUUACAUUAUUUCACAAAGGAUAUUGCAAAAGGGCUUUGGAGAUGGUCGUAUGACUGCCUCUUUUGGGGAUCUGAUAAGAAUUAUUCAAGCUGCAUUUUCUUGAUUUUCAGGUGUGGAAUGGUGUAGAAGCAAUUUGCGUCACUAUUUAUCUUUGAAUUCCUGUGUUGUUUUCUGCAUGGUGGAAACAAAAUGCCUUGAGAUGUCGCUAUUUUAAGGAUGACUUUUAUAUAGAAAAGAAAUUUAUGAUUAACUACUCCUAGCAACACAUUAUUCAUUAACAAUUGAGUUAACAGGUCUGACCUCUGACAAAUAAUAUUGAUGCUUUGCCUUUCAUAGCCUCAUGGACUGCAGGUGAACUUCUCUCGCAGAUGUUAGUUAUUGGAACCUAAAGCACCAGAUGGAGCUUCUAUGGCCUUUGGCUGAUCUGGCUUUUUUGUCGACAUCUUUUUGGACUUCUGGAUCUAAUUCAUUUUAAGUCCAAGUUGUUUGUUACUAUGCACCCCUUGUUGUAGACAGGAUUGGUGUAUCAGAUUAAAGAUAUCCUCUUUGUAACAAAGUUUGGUUUGUAAACUGCACUUGCAAGUACGCUUUCUCUAGAGUUUUGGACAACUAGUGUCAGAUUGAGUGCGAUUUCUUUUGUUGUAUAGCUUAUUGUUUGGAGCCCAUGCUAUAUAGCUUGUCACAGUGCUGAAGAGGUUCAAUUUUUUUGUAAUUUAUCUUGACACUUCACAUAGCUCUUUACAUGAAAUCCAGUACGCAUUUUGGGUGAGAUUUA